rnacentral:rRNA from 1 species
UACGAGUGGCCCUAGCGUUAAUCGGGAUCACUGGGCUUAAAGCGUGCGCAGGCGGGUCGGCAGGCGUCUUGUGAAAUCCCUCGGCUCAACCGGGGAACUGCAGGGCGAACCGCCGACCUCGAGGAAGGUAGGGGCCAGCGGAACUAUGGGUGGAGCGGUGAAAUGCGUAGAUAUCCAUGGGAACGCCAAUGGCGAAGGCAGCUGGCUGGGCCUUUCCUGACGCUCAGGCACGAAAGCGUGGGGAGCAAACAGG